rnacentral:rRNA from 1 species
UACGUAGGGUGCGAGCGUUAAUCGGAAUUACUGGGCGUAAAGGGUGCGCAGGCGGUUAUAUAAGACAGAUGUGAAAUCCCCGGGCUCAACCUGGGAACUGCGUUUGUGACUGUAUGACUAGAGUACGGUAGAGAGGGGUGGAAUUCCUGGUGUAGCAGUGAAAUGCGUAGAUAUCAGGAGGAACAUCGAUGGCGAAGGCAGCCCCUUGGACCUGUACCUGACGCUCAUGCACGAAAGCGUGGGGAGCAA